rnacentral:rRNA from 1 species
ACUCCUACGGGAGGCAGCAGUGGGAAUAUUGCACAAUGGGGGAAAUCCUGAUGCAGCCAUGCCGCGUGUGUGAAGAAGGCCUUCGGGUUGUAAAGCACUUUCAGUAGGGAGGAAGGUAGUGUAGUUAACACCUGCAUUAUUUGACGUUACCUACAGAAGAAGCACCGGCUAACUCCGUGCCAGCAGCCGCGGUAAUACGGAGGGUGCGAGCGUUAAUCGGAAUUACUGGGCGUAAAGCGCAUGCAGGCGGCCUGUUAAGUCAGAUGUGAAAGCCCGGGGCUUAACCUCGGAAUUGCAUUUGAAACUGGCAGGCUAGAGUCUUGUAGAGGGGGUGAGAAUUUCAGGUGUAGCGGUGAAAUGCGUAGAGAUCUGAAGGAAUACCAGUGGCGAAGGCGG